rnacentral:rRNA from 1 species
AUUGAACGCUGGCGGCAGGCCUAACACAUGCAAGUCGAGCGCGCGUCGGACGGGUGAGUAUUAUAUGUGGACUCCCCGAUAUAGGGGGAUAACUACUGGAAACGGUAGCUAAUAUCGCAUACUAUCUCAUUACGCACAUGUGAUUAGCUAUUAGGUGAGGUAAUGGCUCACCUAGGCGACGAUCCCUAGCUGGUCUGAGAGGAUGAUCAGCCACACUGGGACUGAGACACGGCCCAGACUCCUACGGAGGCAGCAGUGGGGAAUAUUGCACAAUGGGCGCAAGCCUGAUGCAGCCAUGCCGCGUGUAUGAAGAAGGCCCUAGGGUUGUAAAGUACUUUCAGUCGGGAGGCGUUACCGACAGAAGAAGCACCGGCUAACUCCGUGCCAGCAGCCGCGGUAAUUC